rnacentral:rRNA from 1 species
ACGCUAGCUACAGGCUUAACACAUGCAAGUCGAGGGGCAUCAGGAAGAAAGCUUGCUUUCUUUGCUGGCGACCGGCGCACGGGUGAGUAACACGUAUCCAACCUGCCCUUUACUCGGGGAUAGCCUUUCGAAAGAAAGAUUAAUACCCGAUAGCAUAAUGAUUCCGCAUGGUUUCAUUAUUAAAGGAUUCCGGUAAAGGAUGGGGAUGCGUUCCAUUAGGUUGUUGGUGAGGUAACGGCCCACCAAGCCUUCGAUGGAUAGGGGUUCUGAGAGGAAGGUCCCCCACAUUGGAACUGAGACACGGUCCAAACUCCUACGGGAGGCAGCAGUGAGGAAUAUUGGUCAAUGGGCGCUAGCCUGAACCAGCCAAGUAGCGUGAAGGAUGAAGGCUCUAUGGGUCGUAAACUUCUUUUAUAUAAGAAUAAAGUGCAGUAUGUAUACUGUUUUGUAUGUAUUAUAUGAAUAAGGAUCGGCUAACUCCGUGCCAGCAGCCGCGGUAAUACGGAGGAUCCGAGCGUUAUCCGGAUUUAUUGGGUUUAAAGGGAGCGUAGGUGGACUGGUAAGUCAGUUGUGAAAGUUUGCGGCUCAACCGUAAAAUUGCAGUUGAUACUGUCAGUCUUGAGUACAGUAGAGGUGGGCGGAAUUCGUGGUGUAGCGGUGAAAUGCUUAGAUAUCACGAAGAACUCCGAUUGCGAAGGCAGCUCACUGGACUGCAACUGACACUGAUGCUCGAAAGUGUGGGUAUCAAACAGGAUUAGAUACCCUGGUAGUCCACACAGUAAACGAUGAAUACUCGCUGUUUGCGAUAUACAGUAAGCGGCCAAGCGAAAGCAUUAAGUAUUCCACCUGGGGAGUACGCCGGCAACGGUGAAACUCAAAGGAAUUGACGGGGGCCCGCACAAGCGGAGGAACAUGUGGUUUAAUUCGAUGAUACGCGAGGAACCUUACCCGGGCUUAAAUUGCAGUGGAAUGAUGUGGAAACAUGUCAGUGAGCAAUCACCGCUGUGAAGGUGCUGCAUGGUUGUCGUCAGCUCGUGCCGUGAGGUGUCGGCUUAAGUGCCAUAACGAGCGCAACCCUUAUCUUUAGUUACUAACAGGUUAUGCUGAGGACUCUAGAGAGACUGCCGUCGUAAGAUGUGAGGAAGGUGGGGAUGACGUCAAAUCAGCACGGCCCUUACGUCCGGGGCUACACACGUGUUACAAUGGGGGGUACAGAAGGCAGCUAGCGGGUGACCGUAUGCUAAUCCCAAAAUCCUCUCUCAGUUCGGAUCGAAGUCUGCAACCCGACUUCGUGAAGCUGGAUUCGCUAGUAAUCGCGCAUCAGCCACGGCGCGGUGAAUACGUUCCCGGGCCUUGUACACACCGCCCGUCAAGCCAUGGGAGCCGGGGGUACCUGAAGUACGUAACCGCAAGGAUCGUCCUAGGGUAAAACUGGUGACUGGGGCU